GUGUUGUAUGAAAGGAGAGAAGGUUAGCACUCCCCUUGACAAGGAUGGAAGAGGCUCUCGGGCGUGUACAACACGCAUACGGUUUCUAAAUUUAAAAAAAGAAAUAAAUAAUUCC
rnacentral:ncRNA from 1 species